GGGCGAGUGGCGAAACGGCAGACGCACUAGCUUUAGGAGCUAGCGGGGCAACCCAUGGAGGUUCGACUCCUCUCUCGCCCA
rnacentral:tRNA from 1 species